rnacentral:lncRNA from 2 species
ACUUCUUGUCGCGAGCACUCCUCCACCCCCUUCUUGCUCGAAGCACUCCUAGCGGUGAAGGAGCACGGGACAUGUGCCGCCGGGCGGCGGAGGGGCGCGACGCCACCAGAUUUGCCUCCCACGCACAAAUCCAGUGGGCAUGGUGCCUUGGGCGGCGUCGAUGACCAGGAGGCGCGAGAGGAGACAGUGGGUGCGGGAGAGGAUGCCAAUGGCGGAGAGGCCGAUGAGCUGGUGGGAGACGUGGUGAGGCCAACGAACAAAGGAAGAAGUCCCAUUCACUCCCUUCCUCCGGCAGCUGCAGGCGUUCGUGGAAGAGAAGCACGAAGACAGCUGGGACACACCUUCCCCCAUGCGCUUGCAGUUCUUGGCGACGAAGCCAGCAAGCGGGUGCGUGAUCCAGUGACGCGGAAGAAGAUGAGUGGAGGGCGUGGCGAUGGAGGAGGUGAGGACGGGGUUGUCGGCUCCCUUCGCUCCCUUAACCAUCGUCGCUCAUUGCCGCAAUCCCCUCUGCCCCUAUCGCUGCUCAUCGGCGAUGCCUCGCUCCUGACUGAAGGGGAAGAGGAAGAGGAAGAGAGAGAUAAGAGAGAGAAGGCAACAACAUGAGGAAGAAGAU